ACCGGGCCAAGGGUUCAUUUCAACCAGGUUAAAAAGUGUAUCGGGGGAGAUAACCCUUUAAAAGGUAUUUUGCGGGAAAUUUGGGGAGUUAAACAAGCCAAAAAGGAUGUAUAAAUUAGGUGNACCAAUGCCGGUAAUUGAAUUAAAACCAAGGGGUUUGGCCAUAUAAGGUUAAUUUAGAUUAAGGGGUUCCCAACCGAAUUAAUUUUGGAUGGAAGCCGGUUUUGGAUUUGGCCUAUUCAAUAUAUUACCCGGUUUUGGACGGGUUUGGGGUUUGCGGGGUAAGGGGAAAUUGGGGUUGUUUUCCGGGGGAAAGCCCUUAAAACGGGUUUUCCAUUCCAAGGAAGGCGCCGGGGGGGAAAAUUCCCCCUUUCCAGGGGGGGGGGGUAGGGAGGGGAAAGGCCAAUUUCCUUUUUUUUUGGGAGGGACCAUGGGAAGGGUUUAAUUUUAAUUCCAUUAAAAAUUUCCAAGGGAGGGGCAAUUUGGGGGCCGCCACCCCGGGUAAUUCCGGUUUUCUUAUGCCAUGGAAUUGCGUUUGGGGUUAAAAAGUUGGUAGUUCCAAGGUUCGGGAGGAGGAGGGUUUACUUUAUUGUUAAUACUAUUUCUACCGUUAAGAGUUUAUAUGGUUAAUACCCAUAUAACUCAGUUACUUUGAGUAAAUCAGAGUGCUUAGAACAAGCGUAUUGCUUGAAUGGUUGUGCAUGGAAUAACAAUACAAUGCAUUGAUAUUUGUUUUGUUGGUUUUAAUGUCAAUGAAUGAUUAAAAGGAACAAACGGGGGCAAAAGUAUCAUAAGGCGAGAGGUGAAAUUUCGUGACCCUGGGCC
rnacentral:rRNA from 1 species